GAGACGAAGAAGAAGAGGAAAGUUCCAGAAGGAGAGAGGAGAGAGUCGGGGCGGAGGGGAGCGAGAAGGGAGAGGGAAGGAGGCCGUGGACGGACGACGCGACCGGCAGGAAGAAGGAGGAUGGAAACGGGAGGUACGGUGAAAAUUUGAGUUGUUUGGUGUGGUGUGUGUGUGUAGAGAAAUUUGGUUGCAGGUUGCGGCGUCGGCAAUGGCGCGACGGAGUGGAACAAUGAAGGUAGGCCGUAAGCGUGGGGUUGUCCCGCGCGCUCACGGAGGUGAUCGGGGAAGGAAGGGAAAGUAUGGCGGUGUUGGAGGCGUGUGGGGGGGGGGGCCGUGGGGAAGGAUGGGGGUGGUACGGGUAGAACAGAGUGAGGAGGAUGUGAGAGAACAAUCUAGGGGCGCGGGUGGGAUAAAAACUCGAGAGGACAGAAGAGGUGUGUGUGUGGUGUGUGCGUGGGUGGGGAUGUGGAGGGAGUCGUUAAUAGGCGGUGAUGUGUUUCCCCGAAAUGCCCGGUGGUGAGGGCGUGUAUGUGGCGUGAAACGGUGCAAGCUGAGAGGUUAAUCGCCCUAGGUAGGCAAAAGUGUAUAGGAACCGGGAGGAGGCAGGAGGAUGGGGGAGGUAGUGGGUAGGGGGCAGUGGGAGAGGGAAGGGAGCUGGAAGGUACGGCAGAGGGGACUAGGAAGCAGGAUUUGAGGGGGAUUGGAUGGGAGAAGAAGAGUAAUGUGGUCAGUAGGAGUUAGUAAGUUAGAAUGCUUGGGACUAGCAUGGUAUAAGGGGAGAUUUGGAGACCGUUGGUAGGGGCGGGCUGAGUUGCCGAUGUUGGUGGAGCAGGGAGGGGAUAUGUAUGUGAGUGUGGCCUAGCAAGGCCGAGAGGGGUAGAAGGGUGCAUGAUUCACGGAAGGUGGUGACGGGAGGUGGAAGUGUUUGUGUGUGUGCGUGGCCCAACGAGGUCGAGAGAUGGAGGAGUGAGUAUGAGUCGCCGAUGUUGGUGACGCGAGAGGAUGGUCUUUGUGUGUGUGUGUGGCCUCUUUAGGUCGAGAGGUGGAGGAGUGAGUAUGAGUCGCCGAUGUUGGUGACGCGAGACGAUGGUAUUGUGUGUGUGUGUGGCCUUUUAGGUCGAGAGGUGGAGGAGUGAGUAUGAGUCGCCGAUGUUGGUGACGCGAGACGAUGGUAUUGGUGUGUGUGUGUGGCCUCUUUAGGUCGAGAGGUGGAGGAGUGAGUGUGAGUCGCCGAUGUUGGCGACGCGGAAUAAUGGUGUGUGGGUGUGUGCGUGGCCUAUUAGGUCGAGAGGUGGAGAUAUGGGUGUGAGUCGCCGAUAUUGGUGACGUGGAAUGAAGGUGGUUGGGUGUGUGUGUGUGUGGCCUCGUGAGGUCGGGAGAUGGGGGGAAGAGUGUAUGAGUCGCCGAUGUUGGUGACGGGAGUUAAUGGAUGAUUGUUGGGUGGGUGGGGUUGUUUAGCCGUGCUAUUUCCUUGGAAUAGGACCUUGAUAAUUAGUGUAGGGAGAGGGUUAUGAGUUGUUUGGGAGUUGGGUAGGAUAAAUGCAUAUAGACAUUUCUGGAAAUUCUUGUCACUGCAUAUUACACUUACAACU
rnacentral:lncRNA from 1 species